GAAAGGAGGGCUAAUACCGGAUAACNNUGAGAGUCUAAUGUCUCUUAUUUGAAAGAUUUAUCACUGAAGGAUGGGUCUGCGUACCAUUAGCUUGUUGGUGGGGUAACGGCCUACCAAGGCAACGAUGGUUAGCGGGUCUGAGAGGAUGAUCCGCCACACUGGAACUGGGACACGGUCCAGACUCCUACGGGAGGCAGCAGUGGGGAAUUUUGCGCAAUGGGCGAAAGCCUGACGCANCAAUACCGCGUGAGUGAAGAAGGCUUUUGGGUCGUAAAGCUCUUUGUCCAAGGGAAGAUAAUGACGGUACCUUGGGAAUAAGCACCGGCUAACUCCGUGCCAGCAGCCGCGGUAAUACGGAGGGUGCAAGCGUUGUUCGGAUUUACUGGGCGUAAAGGGCGCGUAUGCGGCCUGAUUAGCUAAGGGUGGAAAUCCCGGGGCUCAACUCCGGAACUGCUCUUAGAACUGUCAGGCUAGAGACAAGCAGAGGCAGGUGG
rnacentral:rRNA from 1 species